UGGGAAUGAGGCAAGCCACUACAGCUCACGGUGACCGGAUACGGAUUCUUCCUGAUUUCACUCAGACAGUGAGCAAGCAGUGAACAGCUUUCAACGAGGUGAGGGUCUUACGUCGUAACUGUGAGGGGGUUCACUUUGGGUUGAGAUACCCUGCAAUUCUGAGGAUUACGACACAGGAUGGACAAGAGUCAAGCUUUAAGGACGCGCUGAAAGCUAAAGACUUCAUUCUGAAGAACCUGACUUGUAAGGGAAAGUGACAAUCACACAUAACGUUACAUCAGCGGCUGGCAGUUGACUGGACACCAAGUUGAGGACUGUUCCGUCGAAGUUCAAUUCAGGGGUUCUCUGCUGGCAGUUCUGAGAAAUGUACUUGAUGGCCUUUAGUAGCAUAGGUGGUGCGGACACGAGGCUGGUCAGUUGGAAUGUACGUGGGCUAAAUCAUCCAUUGAAAUGAAACCAGGGGGAUGUCUGAGUGUGUGGUAAACACGUGCAGAAGGUGUGGGCUGUGAAUGUCCCAAUGACAGUGCUGGAGGAGUCACUGAGAAACACUCGCCAUGAUCUUGGCACAGAGAGCGUUGGGCCUGUGCAAAACACAUCCAGGAGAUCACCUUAAAAGGAGGGGGACUCUUCACUGUUAUCAGAAGCCAGAGGAGCUGCUUCUAUCCCAGCUGGUUCCGCC
ensembl:lncRNA